GGAUUAGAUACCCUGGUAGUCCACGCCCUAAACGAUGAGUGCUAGGGGUUAGAGAGGUUUUCGUCUCUAGUCUCGAAGCUAACGCGUUAAGCACUCCGCCUGAAUAGUACGACCGCAAGGUUAAAAUUCAAAGGAAUUGACGGGGGCCCGCACAAGCGGUGGAGCAUGCCGGAUAAAUUGAUACUACGCAAAAAACCUUACCAACCUUUGAUACAUUGCCACCAGAAACAGAGAUGUUUCUUUCAGUUCGGCUGGGCUUUGUACAGGUGCUGCAUGGCUGUCGUCAGCUCGUGCCG
rnacentral:rRNA from 1 species